GACGAACGCUGGCGGCAGGCCUAACACAUGCAAGUCGAGCGAGCGGCGGACGGGUGAGUCAUGUAUGGGGACUGCCCGAUAGAGGGGGAUAACUACUGGAAACGGUGGCUAAUACCGCAUACUGUCGGAUAACCAAUAUGGGACUAGAUAGUAGGUAAGGUAAUGGCUUAACUAGGCGAAGAACCCUAGCUGGUCUGAGAGGAUGAUCAGCCACACUGGGACUGGGACACGGCCCGUACUCCUACGGAGGCAGCAGUGGGGAAUCUUCCGCAAUGGACGAAAGUCUGACGGAGCAACGCCGCGUGAGUGAUGACGGCCUUCGGGUUGUAAAGCUCUGUUAAUCGGGAGACGGUACCGGAAUAGAAAGCCACGGCUAACUACGUGCCAGCAGCCGCGGUAAUAC
rnacentral:rRNA from 1 species